rnacentral:ribozyme from 1 species
UGCCCAGCAAUUCCUAUCCCUAUCUCCUCGCGGUACUGGCCGGGGUACGAGUAACCUUAGGGAAGAUCGGGUAACCAACUCCGGUAGGAACUCUGGACGUAUUAUGACAGGGAAGG